UCUCUGGGUGAGCCUCAACCCUCUAACAUUAGGAGAAAUAGCUAAUGUAGGUGACGGGUUGAUGGGUGCAGCAAACCACCAUGGAUUGGUGAAUUGUGCAAGUUGUGUGAGAAGCCAGCAGGUGUGAGGUGAUGCCAGAAUAAAGAUAAGUAGGGCACUGGCAAGUUAAAAAGAAUCAAUACACAAAGUGUUGGUUUAAUUUGCAUUUGUCUACCCAAGCACCACUGCCCUGCGAUCUCUAUUGUUACUACAUGACAAUAAAUCUUGAUAUAAGGUAGAACAAUUCCCUUCCACGCUGUUCUUCUUUGGGGGCUUUACUUAUAAAUUUUAGAAUGAACUUGUCAAGUUUCACAGAAAUAAUAAACAAUCAAAAACAAGAAGAGGUUUUUAACUGAAAUAGCAUUAAAUCUGUGGAUCAAUUUAUGGAGAAUUGACCUCUUUACAAUAUUUAGCCUUCUAAUCCAUGGACACACCUAUUUUUCAAUAUAUUUUUGU
rnacentral:lncRNA from 1 species